UCCUGUGAAAUAGAUGCUUACUCAGAAUAAAUUCUAUUGAACUCAGAGGAGCACACUUCGGAAUACACAUAUGGCCUUGCUUUUCUUCAUCUGUCCUUUAAAACAUGACGCCCUGGUAACAGAUAGAGUGCCUGGCACAUCACUAUGUCACAAUGGCUGACGUCUGAGAGGAAAAACCACAAGUAACUACAUCCCAUUUUAAAGUCACAUGAAGAGGAACUAUUUGGGUGUGCUAUGUGUCAUAGACAUCUUGUUGUUUCCAAGGGAGGAAGAGAGACCAAACGUUUUGUGGAUCAUCUUGAAAUUAUAUAGCCCUGAAGAAGAGAAAGACGAAAAUGUGAGAUGUGUGCACAACAAUUCAGAAAAUCUGAAUAAAUUGAAUGGCACAUCUCUCCUGAGAUGUGCAGAAUCACACAGACAAAUGACAAAUUCACUUUUGCAAGCACCUACCAGUGGAAUGGAGGGCGUCAACAGACUUGGACAAAGAUAACAAGAUUUGCAGAAUUAAUGCCCAUCCAUGAAGACUAACCAGAAAAUGCUGAGUGCUGAAAGAGGAAAGAGGACCACUGAAAAGUGAGUGGUAAGAAUAAAUUUUGAAAAUGACA